rnacentral:rRNA from 1 species
CGAAAGGGAACCACCUGUACCCAUACCGAACACAGAAGUUAAGCCUUUCAGCGCCGAUGGUACUUGGUUGGAGACGACACGGGAGAGUAGGACGUUGCCGGAU